AACUGACACUUUUUCUGUUGUCAUUGGUCGGCGGGAAAAUUGAAGAAAAGUAUUUAGAAAUUAGUCAAACGCCUUCUUUGAUAGCUCCGGAAUUCGCUCGACAGAUAUUUAAUUGUACUAAGGAAAAAUAAGCCAACGAGUGAUGUUUACCGCGAUGCUGCCAAUAGAAAGAGCAGAGCUUCGGAAAUGGCGAUAACCGUUUCGAAUGAUCUCAUGAUUCUGCAACUUUAACGUCAUCUAAAUCAUCCACAAAGGCAGCCUCUAUACGGGAAGCAUCACCGUUACUAUCGUCUAGGCCAACUGGGUUCGAAAGAUUAGCACCGCUACAGCAGGAAACAGCAUAAUUGCGCCGCAAUGUGAUGCGCCAGCUCAUAUGCAUAAUUGUAAGUCAUCUUUAGAUCAGCAGCCACCGCGUAUACGAGCUCGCCUACACUGGCC